UACGGAGGGGGCUAGCGUUGUUCGGAAUUACUGGGCGUAAAGCGCGCGUAGGCGGCUUUGUAAGUUAGAGGUGAAAGCCCGGAGCUCAACUCCGGAACUGCCUUUAAGACUGCAUCGCUAGAACGAUGGAGAGGUAAGAGGAAUUCCGAGUGUAGAGGUGAAAUUCGUAGAUAUUCGGAAGAACACCAGUGGCGAAGGCGACUUACUGGACAUCUGUUGACGCUGAGGUGCGAAAGCGUGGGGAGCAAACAGG
rnacentral:rRNA from 1 species